UACCUGCAGCUCGAGUGGUAACCGCUAUUAUUGGGCCUAAAGCGUCCGUAGCCGGUUUGGUAAAUAUCUGGGUAAAUCGUGAGGCUUAACUUCACGAAUUUCGGAUAGACUGCCAGACUUGGGAUCGGGGCGGUCAGAGGUACUCCAGGGGUAGCGGUGAAAUGUUGUAAUCCUUGGAGGACCACCGGUAGCGAAGGCGUCUGACUAGAACGAGUCCGACGGUGAGGGACGAAGCCCUGGGGCGCAAACCGGAUUAGAUACCCGGGUAGUCCAGGGUGUAAACUAUGUGGGCUUUGUAUUGGAGGUCCCACGUGGGCGUCCAGUGCAGAAGAGAAGUUGUUAAGCCCACCGCCUGGGAAGUACGGUCGCAAGGCUGAAACUUAAAGGAAUUGGCGGGGGAGCACAGCAACGGGAGGAGCGUGCGGUUU
rnacentral:rRNA from 1 species